rnacentral:rRNA from 1 species
AGCAGCCGCGGUAAUUCCAGCUCCAAUAACGUAUAUUAAAGUUGUUGCAGUUAAAAAGCUCGUAGUUGAAUUUCGGGGUCAGUAGGUUGGUCGUGCCACUGGUAUGUACUGGCCUUACUGAUUCCUCCCUCUUGACGAACUGUAAUGCCAUUAAUUUGGUGUUGCAGGGAAUCAGGACUGUUACUUUGAAAAAUUAGAGUGUUUAAAGCAGGCUAACGCUUGAAUACAUUAGCAUGGAAUAAUGAAAUAGGACGUUGACCCUAUUUUGUUGGUUUCUAGGAUUGACGUAAUGAUUAAUAGGGAUAGUUGGGGGCAUUAGUAUUCAAUUGUCAGAGGUGAAGUUCUUGGAUUUAUUGAAG